rnacentral:rRNA from 1 species
UACGAAGGGGACUAGCGUUGUUCGGAUUUACUGGGCGUAAAGCGUGCGCAGGCGGUUUUGUAAGUCUGUCGUGAAAUCCCCGGGCUCAACCUGGGAAUUGCGAUGGAGACUGCAAGGCUGGAGUCUGGCAGAGGGGGGGGUAGAAUUCCACGUGUAGCAGUGAAAUGCGUAGAGAUGUGGAGGAACACCGAUGGCGAAGGCAAGCCCUCCGGUCGGAGAC